UUGCCUGUUCCUGACGCUGCCUCUGCCUAAUACCUGGAAUAAACCACCGUCUGAUCACCGUCAACCUGUGUUUUGCUGUGCAUUUGGGUCCUCAUCCGGGCGUUCCUUGACACAGCCAACAGAAAGUAGGCAGAGGCUAAAACAACUGGUGGAGGACCUGCACCUCCACCAUUGACGCAUGCAGAGGAGAAGGGCCUCAGCCUGAACACUGGAAAGCAGGGGCUAAAGGAAUUCAUCAGAACCCGUCACUCCCCAGGAUACAAGUGCAUGUGUAAAAUACUCUGGGUUGGGUUCUUUGGUCUCAACAGAUUCUGAUGGUAAUAUAUGAAUCCUCCUGUCACAACAGAAGCCCAGGAUGUUAGUGUGGAAGAACAGCAGGAGGAGGUCAGUCACAUUCUGCUGCACAGAUGCACACAGUUCAGUGAUGUUCAGUAAAUGCCAGAGUUCAAUUCUGUAAGAGUAAUGAGGAACAUGUCAUUUCGAGAUGUCAUGUAACUAUAAAUCUUCUGUAUUUUAGGUUACCGGUUACAGAGUUGUAUAAACGUAAUCUCAAGGAAAUGUUAUACUUGUACCACAAGAUUGAAAAGGCAGAUCUAGAAAUUAAAAUUCCCAAACACAAGCUGGAGAUGAGUGUAUAGUUAAAGGUGAAUUGUAUGAAUUAUUGAAAGAAUCAUAAAAUCUAACAAUUGCCUUUGUAUUUGUAGGAAAUGAAAAAAAAACAAAUAAAUUAUGAUUUACAUCUA